rnacentral:lncRNA from 1 species
GGGAUGAUGGGUGAGCUACCAAGGCUAACAUUUUCCCGAGGACAUUGAGUUAGGGAAGUGGCCUCUCCUUGAGGGAAGGAGCCAGAUGACUUCUCAGAGAACAACAACCAUAUUCAAAAUAUUCUCAAGUUUCUUUUGUUUCUUCUUGUCUGCAUCUGAUAUCCAGGACAUUAUUCCACAGGAAAAGGUUAACAGGAAAUCAAGAUCGGCCCGCUCCUACAGCAAAAGAAGUACUAAGAGGAAAGUUUAUAGUGAUAAGCACCUACAUAACAAAAAACUUCAAAUAAACAACCUAAUGAGGCAUCUUAAGGAAUGAGAAAAGAGCAAACUGAAUAC